rnacentral:rRNA from 1 species
GAUGAACGCUGGCGGCGUGCUUAACACAUGCAAGUCGAACGGUGAACGAGGGAGCUUGCUCCCUCCGGAUCAGUGGCGAACGGGUGAGUAACACGUGAGCAAUCUGCCCUGGACUCUGGGAUAAGCGUUGGAAACGACGUCUAAUACCGGAUACGAGGCGUGGGGGCAUCCCCAACGCCUGGAAAGAACUUCGGUCCAGGAUGAGCUCGCGGCCUAUCAGGUAGUUGGUGAGGUAACGGCGCACCAAGCCGACGACGGGUGGCCGGCCGGAGAGGGUGGCCGGCCACACUGGGACUGAGAAACGGCCCAGACUCCUACGGGAGGCAGCAGUGGGGAAUAUUGCACAAUGGGCGCAAGCCUGAUGCAGCAACGCCGCGUGAGGGACGACGGCCUUCGGGUUGUAAACCUCUUUUAGCAGGGAAGAAGCGAAAGUGACGGUACCUGCAGAAAAAGCACCGGCUAACUACGUGCCAGCCGCCGCCGUAAAAC